ACCAGGAUGGCCGAUAGGUUAAGGCGUUGGACUCAAGAUCUAAAAAACAAAUGUUCCCGUGGGCUUGAACCCCACUCCUGGUA